UACAGACAGAACAGUGCGUUCUAAAGUACAUCCCAGAGACAGAGUACUGUACCAGUGUAGACGUGACUGCCUCUGGAGUGGACCUCUAUCAUGUGACCUUGGAACAGUGUUCGCACAUACUCUUCCUCACAACCUCAGGUUCAUUGCUACAGAGUGUGCUAUACAUAGCACAUAAAAAAAAAAAAAAACACACUGACGUCAAAGCAAAACUACAGAAUGCCACUUGUUCAGCAGCGACAAAACAUUUGGAACUUUGAGAAACUGCUGUUUGGCUCAUGUUCAAGCCAUAAUGUAGCGUGUCGCGGGUAUGACGUGUCACACAUAUAAUCUUCAAUAUGGGCCAAUGGAUCAGAAGGAAGGUGCGACUUCUGGAAAGAGGAAGGUAGCCCAGCAGGUACUUGGAUUCAGCAGCUCAACAGUUCAACUCAGUUGGGAAUCAAUUCUUAUAUACAUUGUACAAUAAAAUAAUAAAUUCAACAGUCUCAGUUUUUGUAACCCAACAAAACUGGAGAAAAUAGCAAACGAUAUUCUCAAAACAAAAUAUUACACUCUAUAUCUCAGAAGUUGUUUGAACACUCAAUUUUAUUCAAUGUACAGAAUGUGGUUCUGAAUUCACUUUUCAAUCUGUUAAGUCACUCAUUUCUCUCAUAGCUCAAUAGACCUCAGUUAGAUCAGGGAUGGGCAACUGGCGGCCCGUGGGUCGUGUACGGCCCGUAAUGUCUUCAAAUACAGCCUGCUGGACCACUCGGAUGAUCAACUUUAAAACAUUUGAAAAGCAAGUAAUAUAUAGAUUGCGUUCAGAUUAUAAUGUUAAUACUAAAUCAAUCCAGGAGAGGUCGCUAUUUCCAGCUGAUCCCCAUAUUAAUACCAGCAUGGAUGUGCACGCUAAUGUGAAAGUUUACUAAAAUGAGCAAAAAUAAAUGAAAAAUUGACAAUAAAAAUAGUGUUUUCACCAUCCAGUCAGGAUGGUUAACAGAUUAUCUUUUUACCAAGUUCAAGGGGUCACACAUAUGUUUGGAAACGAAAUUUGUAAAGAAAGAUUUUAUUGUAAAUUGCCAUUACACCAAUGCACUACCCAUAAAAUCCGCUUUCCACCAUCGGGCCGACAGAAUGGUAAGGAACGGUUUCAGUUGUAUUUCCACUUGAGCCUGGCACGGCACGAUUACAAACCGUUCUCCCCCCGGAAUUAGCCAACCGUGCCGAACCGUACUGCUAGAAUGCGAGUAGUGACGUCGCCACUCAGGAUCACCAUAACGCGGUCACUAUUUACAUCGCAUCUCGUGUGUAAACUCUUGCAUUAUUAAUGCAAUGACUGAAGA